GGGCUUGACAUCCCACGAACCUGCCUGAAAGGGCGGGGUGCCCGCAAGGGAGCGUGGAGACAGGUGGUGCAUGGCUGUCGUCAGCUCGUGUCGUGAGAUGUUGGGUUAAGUCCCGCAACGAGCGCAACCCUCACCCCUAGUUGCCACCGGGUAAUGCCGAGCACUCGAGGGGAACUGCCAGCGUCAAGCUGGAGGAAGGCGGGGAUGACGUCAAGUCAUCAUGCCCCUUACGCCCUGGGCUACACACGUGCUACAAUGGCCGGCACAAAGGGAUGCGAGACCGUAAGGUGGAGCUAAUCCCAAAAAGCUGGUCUAAGUUCAGAUUGCAGUCUGCAACUCGACUGCAUGAAGGAGGAAUCGCUAGUAAUCGCGCAUCAGCACGGCGCGGUGAAUACGUUCCCGGGCCUUGUACACACCGCCCGUCACACCACGAAAGCUGGCUGUACUCGAAGUCGCUGAGA
rnacentral:rRNA from 1 species